UACGAAAGGAGUAAAUAACUAAAAUAUUUUUGUAUA
rnacentral:rRNA from 1 species